GGGGAAUUUUCCGCAAUGGGCGAAAGCCUGACGGAGCAAGACCGCGUGAGGGAGGAAGGCUCUUGGGUUGUAAACCCCUUUUCUCAGGGAAGAAAAAAAUGACGGUACCUGAGGAAGAAGCAUCGGCUAACUCCGUGCCAGCAGCCGCGGUAAGACGGAGGAUGCAAGCGUUAUCCGGAAUGAUUGGGCGUAAAGCGUCCGCAGGUGGCUCAUCAAGUCUGCUGUCAAAGAGCAAGGCUCAACCUUGUCAAGGCAGUGGAAACUGGAGAGCUAGAGAGUGGUAGGGGUAGAGGGAAUUCCCGGUGUAGCGGUGAAAUGCGUAGAGCUCGGGAAGAACAUCGGUGGCGAAAGCGCUCUACUGGACGGUAUCUGACACUGAGGGACGAAAGCUAGGGGAGCGAAUGGGAUUAGAUACCCCAGUAGUC
rnacentral:rRNA from 1 species